CGGAAUCACUGGGCGUAAAGGGCGCGUAGGCGGCUUUGUAAGUCGGGGGGGAAAGCCUGUGGCUCAACCACAGAAUUGCCUUCGAUACUGCAUGGCUUGAGACCGGAAGAGGUAAGUGGAACUGCGAGUGUAGAGGUGAAAUUCGUAGAUAUUCGCAAGAACACCAGUGGCGAAGGCGGCUUACUGGUCCGGUUCUGACGCUGAGGCGCGAAAGCGUGGGGAGCAAACAGG
rnacentral:rRNA from 1 species